rnacentral:lncRNA from 1 species
AAAAACUUUGUCAAAAUUUUAUGAAAAUUAAACGAGCCAAAUUAAUUUUAGUGAAAGUGUUGGGUACCACCUUAAGAAGUAUAUAAAUAUUAUUCUCGUGUAUGCUAUGCAAAAUAUUUCAAGACCAUGGCUAUAUCAUGGCGGUCAGUGUUCUGUUGAUGUAGGAAGCUGGCAUCCAAUUGAUAACCACCAUACUUUAAACAAUAUCAAUAGCAAUUUUGUCAUUUAACAUCUUAAAGCAUCUAGACGUGAGCAGGGUUUGAACUCAAAAUCUCAAAAGUUGAAAGGAUAAUGAUCACUGUGGUUGAUCUUAUUUGCCACUGUGGCCCAAUGGGUAAUAUGCAACAAUACUAAAACUGAUAGGGUCUGAAGCUCAUGAAAAUUGAUAAAAGUACUGAAACUGCUGAUGGUUUUAAGAUCACAAUUUUUUAUUUUUUUUUGUCUUUCCUAUUUACCAUACUGAUAUGGUCUGAAACUCCGGAAAAUUAAUAAAAGCACUGAAACUGCUAAUGGUACUAGAUCACAACAAUUUUUUUAAUUUUUUUAAUUUUUUUUUUUUCCUAUUUACCAUUCUGAUAAGGUCUGAAACUCAGGAAAAUUGAUAAUAGCAUUGAAACUGCUGAUGGAGAUACAAUCACAACUAUGUUUUUUCUUUCUUUCCUAUUUACCUUAUUAUAUACAAAUUGAAAGCACAUUAUAAAAUAAAAUUAUAUGAUAUGAAAAACUCUUCCUUGUCAUAUAUAAAGAAACAAAAUAUGAUAAUACAUUUACAUAAAAUAUAUGAACAUUUAAAUAGCACUUAAUUGGCAAAGACAAAUAAAAUAAACAAACAAAAUCACAUUUAUCAAUAGACACAACAUCUAAAUCACAAAACAUAUCACAAAAUUAAUAUAAGAAUGUAUUUUUUGUAGUCCAACAAAGGAAAAUUUACUAAUUUCAAUGAAGUUCCAGGUGAUGCUAUUUGAAAUUAAAAUUUCAUUUAUCUUUGCAUGCUGUAAAUAUCAGCAACAAAAAAGAAACUUGCACAAAGCAAUUCAACUACUGUAGAUUCAUUUAUUUUCGUGGGAACAAAUUUUCCUGGAUUGAGGAAAACUUGCAUUUUCAUGGAUAUUUGAUUUCAUGGUUUUGCAAAGUUCUGCAUAAGGUGGUACCUAACACAACAGGGAGAUAACUAUGUAAAGUCAUCUAAACGUUUUAAUUACGUUGUGUUGUAAAAGGAAUAUUUAGCUUCUCAAUGAUCAAAAUUGGUGUUUGUCAAACUGCUAUAUAACCAGUGUAAUUUUUCUGACAAAACGGUUGGUUCAAAAAUUUUGAAUUUUUUAUAUUUUUGUUAAAGGAUCAAAGUACAUACUUUGACAAAAUUUUAUGAAAAUUAAACAAGCCAAAUUAAUUUUAGUGAAAGUGUUGGGUACCACCAUAAAUGCCUAUUCAAAUUUGUUAUUUGUUGGACAUUUGAUUUCGUGGUUCAAGGGUUACUACAAAAUCCACUAAUAUUGGUAUCAAAAGAAUAAUAAUAAAUCCACAGUAUAUGUUAAUGGUUAUGAUAGAAAAAUGCUGUGUUUGCAGUUAAUGAUCUAAUCCUAUUUGUUUGUACACCAAGAACCAUCCAAAAUCCAAAAAAAAAAUGAUGCUUCAUUUUUAUGGAAAGUUAUUUUACAAAAUUUUGACCCAUUGACCAUUCCCACUUAUCUUCAUAUAAAUCUGGAACCACAACGUUUUUCUCUCGAUGCCUAAAGCUAUUUAGUAAAACAAUAUUAUUGUUAAUUGUCUAAAUUACCUCUAAAAUUAUCUACAUUGACAAGCAAAUUCCUUGUAAACAUAACAAUUUAAACUGAAAAUGAAAUCCAAAGCUAAAUUACAGCAGAUAAUACAAAUUACCAUCACAUCAAAACGUAAACAAACAUCUCACAGAUCAUUAUACUUUUAACCAGAUUCUUCCAAGAUUAUGCAUAAUAUAAAACAAAAUAAAUUUAAUGAUUCAAAAUCAAAUGCAUUCUCGGUAAUAUUUUUAAAUUGUACACCAUAUUGCUUUGAUUGGUUGAUAUUUUCUUAAACAAUUGAUCUUCAACCAAUGGUGGGAAGUUAUAUUCAUUUUGGCGUAAAACCAAUGAAAUUACCCACAAUUCUUUGAAUCUGGUGAAUUACCAAUGUAAUAUAUAAGGAAUGGAAUGCAAUUAUCUGUAAACAAAACAAUAAAUGUACCUUAACAUAGUUUGAUAAAUAUCAAAUUAUUUUAUCAAAUAUAUUGGCUGGCAAGAUGAUCAUGAUUUUUCUUUGUUGUAAAAAAUAUAAAAUGUGUGAAGCAAAGAUUCCAUGACCUCCAAAAUAAUGUGGGGUUUUACAGUAAUUUAAAUGUCUAACUAUGGUUAUAAUUUCCACACAAUAUAUAAACAAAUUUGUAUCUUACCCAACUUUAACUUGUUAGAUAUAUAUUUUGAAAAUGACAUGUUGCAUUGGUUUUUAUUUUUCAUUUAGCACAGCUUAAACUAAAGCUGAAGUUGUUAUUUAAUUCUUGUGUUACAAUGGCUUGUUAAGUUUUUUAUCUUCCGUUUCUUGUAUAAGAAAUUCAGAUAGUGAAGUGUCCCAAAAUGUUACCCAUAUUUGUAAGGAUGAAAAAAUGGUCCAAAAUAUGAAUCAACAAAUCUUUGUUAACUAAAAACAAAAUAUCACAUAAAUCUGUUACUAUGGUAAUGUAUCAUACUCCCUCAAAUACAAAAAUAUAAUCCUUUUAUUCUAAUCCUUCACAAAAUAAUGAAAUCUCUCAACAAUUUCUUAAAAAUCUAAAUAAAGAAUUGUAUGCUAACAAUACAAUACACAAUGGCAGUACUUAUGGGUAUACUAAUAUGGUUUAUGAAUACACUUUUUUUUAAGUCCUGCCCCUAAAGUUGCCAUGAUGGGGCCCCAUUUUCAAAAUCCUAGAUAUGCAAACACCACAGUUUUUAACUCAAUGAAACAAAACAACAAACAUCACCAUUUCAAUGAUUUCUACAACAAUUUUUUUUUGAUGUUUAGCCUUCAUUUUUUCUUUCUUUUCAUGUACAGCACCUUAACAAAGCACAACAACUGAACAUUUUCAUUAAUAUAGAGACAUUUGAAAUAUUUUCAAACUACAAUAGCAAUAAAAGAAGAUUAAAGAUUAAAUUAAAUAUAAACGCUGUCAAUCUAUUUUUGGCUUGUUUAUCCAGGCACUUUAAGAAAUAAUGCUAACAUUAAGUUUUGAUAUAAUUACAUUUAGUGGUAAAUUCUGUAACUAUGUGAACAUAAAGAAAAAUAUCACAUUUUUCCAAAAACAAAAGAGAUUCAG